rnacentral:rRNA from 1 species
UGGGGAAUAUUGCACAAUGGGCGCAAGCCUGAUGCAGCCAUGCCGCGUGUGUGAAGAAGGCCUUAGGGUUGUAAAGCACUUUCAGCGAGGAGGAAGGCAUCACACUUAAUACGUGUGGUGAUUGACGUUACUCGCAGAAGAAGCACCGGCUAACUCCGUGCCAGCAGCCGCGGUAAUACGGAGGGUGCAAGCGUUAAUCGGAAUUACUGGGCGUAAAGCGCACGCAGGCGGUUUGUUAAGUCAGAUGUGAAAUCCCCGCGCUUAACGUGGGAACUGCAUUUGAAACUGGCAAGCUAGAGUCUUGUAGAGGGGGGUUAGAAUUCCAGGUGUAGCGGUGAGAUGCGUAGAGAUCUGGAGGAAUACCGGUGGCGAAGGCGGCCCCCUGGACAAAGACUGACG